rnacentral:tRNA from 1 species
GGCCUCGUAGCUCAGCUGGUAUAGCGUGCGCUGCACAAAAAGCGUAGGCGGCGUCCAUGCGUGGGUUUGAAUCCCACCGAGGCUA